GAUGAACGCUGGCGGCGUGCCUAAUACAUGCAAGUCGAGCGAACAGACGAGGAGCUUGCUCCUCUGACGUUAGCGGCGGACGGGUGAGCAACACGUGGAUAACCUACCUAUAAGACUGGGAUAACUUCGGGAAACCGGAGCUAAUACCGGAUAAUAUAUUGAACCGCAUGGUUCAAUAGUGAAAGACGGUUUUGCUGUCACUUAUAGAUGGAUCCGCGCCGCAUUAGCUAGUUGGUAAGGUAACGGCUUACCAAGGCAACGAUGCGUAGCCGACCUGAGAGGGUGAUCGGCCACACUGGAACUGAGACACGGUCCAGACUCCUACGGGAGGCAGCAGUAGGGAAUCUUCCGCAAUGGGCGAAAGCCUGACGGAGCAACGCCGCGUGAGUGAUGAAGGUCUUCGGAUCGUAAAGCUCUGUUAUUAGGGAAGAACAAAUGUGUAAGUAACUAUGCACGUCUUGACGGUACCUAAUCAGAAAGCCACGGCUAACUACGUG
rnacentral:rRNA from 1 species